rnacentral:rRNA from 1 species
GAGACAGCAGCAGCCGCGGUAAUACAGAGGGUGCGAGCGUUAAUCGGAUUUACUGGGCGUAAAGCGUGCGUAGGCGGCUUCUUAAGUCGGAUGUGAAAUCCCUGAGCUUAACUUAGGAAUUGCAUUCGAUACUGGGAAGCUAGAGUAUGGGAGAGGAUGGUAGAAUUCCAGGUGUAGCGGUGAAAUGCGUAGAGAUCUGGAGGAAUACCGAUGGCGAAGGCAGCCAUCUGGCCUAAUACUGACGCUGAGGUACGAAAGCAUGGGGAGCAAACAGGAUUAGAUACCCCCGUAGUCCCUGUCUCUUAUAA